rnacentral:rRNA from 1 species
GAACGCUGAAACCAAAUGCUUGCAUUUGGUGGAUGAGUGGCGAACGGGUGAGUAACACGUGGGUGAUCUGCCCUACACUUUGGGAUAAGCCUGGGAAACUGGGUCUAAUACCGAAUAUUCACACCACCGUAGGGGUGGUGUGGAAAGCYUURUGCGGUGUGGGAUGAGCCUGCGGCCUAUCAGCUUGUUGGUGGGGUAAUGGCCUACCAAGGCGUCGACGGGUAGCCGGCCUGAGAGGGUGUACGGCCACAUUGGGACUGAGACACGGCCCAGACUCCUACGGGAGGCAGCAGUGGGGAAUAUUGCACAAUGGGCGCAAGCCUGAUGCAGCGACGCCGCGUGGGGGAUGACGGCCUUCGGGUUGUAAACUCCUUUCGCUAGGGACGAAGCCUUWUAGGUGACGGUACCUGGAGAAGAAGCACCGGCUAACUACGUGCCAGCAGCCGCGGUAAUACGUAGGGUGCAAGCGUUGUCCGGAAUUACUGGGCGUAAAGAGCUCGUAGGUGGUUUGUCGCGUCGUCUGUGAAAUCCCGGGGCUUAACUUCGGGCGUGCAGGCGAUACGGGCAUAACUUGAGUGCUGUAGGGGAGACUGGAAUUCCUGGUGUAGCGGUGAAAUGCGCAGAUAUCAGGAGGAA